CAAGAAGUCAGGUUGACUAGCAAGGAGUCUGCUUCUGCUACUUGGAGAAGAGAUUUAGAAUUAUGUAUCUUUUGUUACAGAUAUACAGAUAUACAAAUAUACAGAUAUACAAAUAAGUUAUUUUUGUUGUUGCUGGAAGGGUGAAGAUGGAGGGAAUCUGAUAAAGACAUCUUAUAAAUUCAACAGACACAAAAGAAUUUGAUCUCCCAUAAGCAACUGUGAAAUUACAAUAACAGAUCCUGGGAAGUUCUACAAUUCUAAUUCAGUUUUUUCAAGGGGGAACAUGGCAAAGGUGUUCAGUUUCAUCCUUGUUACCAC
rnacentral:lncRNA from 10 species